rnacentral:ncRNA from 1 species
UAUUGAUAAGGGCAAAACCACUGAAAAGUGGUGACGCAAAACUAUAGGGGCUAAUGCGAUUUUUCGUUAUGCCAGCCAGUUACCGAU